rnacentral:rRNA from 1 species
GAUGAACGCUGGCGGCGUGCUUAACACAUGCAAGUCGAACGGAAAGGCUCCUGCUUGCAGGGGUACUCGAGUGGCGAACGGGUGAGUAACACGUGGGUGAUCUGCACAGCACUUCGGGAUAAGCCUGGGGAACUGGGUCUAAUACCGGAUAGGACGAUGGUUUGGAUGCCAUUGUGUAAAGUUUUUUCGGUGUGGGAUGAGCUCGCGGCCUAUCAGCUUGUUGGUGGGGUAAUGGCCUACCAAGGCGUCGACGGGUAGCCGGCCUGAGAGGGUGUACGGCCACAUUGGGACUGAGGUACGGCGCAGAAUCGUACGGGAGGCAGCAGUGGGGAAUAUUGCACAAUGGGCGCAAGCCUGAUGCAGCGACGCCGCGUGGGGGAUGACGGCCUUCGGGUUGUAAACUCCUUUCGCUAGGGACGAAGCGCAAGUGACGGUACCUGGAGAAGAAGCACCGGCUAACUACGUG